ensembl:lncRNA
AAACAAUAAACAAGUUAGACCAGUCAUGUGUAGUGCCAGGUGCAAUCGCAUACCCAAAAAGUUUUAGGGCACGUUCAGGUAACUGACAUCUAGCCUAACUUUAAAACUGUGCACUCAGUCACACCCGACAGAUUUUGCGAUGCGUGAGUGGGAUGAUGAUGUAGGCGAGUCUUAACAACACAAACUUCAGUCAUUUCACUUCACUUUCCUCCAGCGAUCUGAUACGCGUGCCUCUUCUGCAGCGGAAUAUAAACCAAAGGACAAUCAUGAAGCCCUUGGCAUUGCUGACACUUCUGCUCAUCACGAGUGGUUCUGCAGUGGGGCAAAUGUUGAAAUCUAAUGUGACUGGCUAUGUUGGAAAGGAUGUACUUUUAUCAUUUAACUGUUCUAAAGACCCUAAAGAGCUGAUAUGGCAGAAAGGUGAGAGAUUAGUGAAUGUUCAUUCACAAGACAAAAUCACCAUAGAUGAUUCCUACGUGGACAGGACACAACUCUUCAUAAACAUGGAGAAGAGAAACUGUUCCCUACUGCUCCGCAACAUCUCUACAGCAGAUGCAGGACUGUACACCUGUUAUGCCAUAGACACUGUUGAUAACAAGGUCUGGACAAAGGAGUCUACAGAAGUUAAUUUAACAGGUGAGUUUUCUAAUUAUUAAUUUAUUUAUCUAAGCAGAUCAAUAGUUAAUAUCUUGAAAGGAAACAGCAAGCCUCUUCCUGUUUUACACUUUCAGUGUGCUUCCCUUUUCAAAGUGCAACUCUGCUUAGCUGUAGUCUACUAGGACUGUUUAGAUAAUGACGUGUAAGAGAAUCACAGGUUGGAAAAAAGCUUAUAAAAAGCAGAACUUUCAUGACAAUCAAAGGAAGUUGAAAUUGUUGCUACUGCAGCAGGACCAAAAGUUAUUGACACCAGAGAAUAGCCUACGACAAUAUCAUAAACAUUGUCGUCAUCUGCGGUGCAACCAGUGAUAAUAAAACAGCUCAUCUAUUGAAUGGUAUUACAGGCUAAAGAACAAAAAACAGUACCUGUGUUGUGUUAAAGUAUAAGUGAUGUAGGCUCUGAGCUGGGGUUUCAAAUGCUGAAAUUUUGCUAGAAACUCUGCCUGUGUUUCCUUAAUUUUUUUAAUGUAUUACAAAUUAGGAUUGUAAACUGUAAUGUGUGGUAGUGUAAAGAUAAUGAUGACAUUGAUAUCUCAUAACAUAUCUCUUUUACCAGUGGAGAUCAACCCUGAAAAAAGCGUCCAAACUGAAGAAGAAUCUGACACAGCUGUCCCUGUUAGUGUUCCCAUAGCGGUAGUACUGCUUAUACUGGCUGUUAUCCUGCUUCUAAUCCUACUGAUCAGAAGACAACAUCGGACACGCACGGACACUGAUUUACCGGCUGAGAAACCUAUGCUACAGAAUGUGUGAAGUGCUCUUGCUUGACAGUUUAAUGGACUUACUUCUAUGUUGUAAUGCAAGGUCCUUCACAACAACAACAAUGGACAAUAAGAGGCCUUAGCCCUAAACAAAUGCGUUCGCAUGUGGGCAUUACACAAUGGUGCGUGCUGAUCCGUCUCACUUUGAGACAGAUUAAUGUUCAGUUUUCAGUUGUAACACUGUUACUUGUUUACCACUGAAUUGUGAAUACACUGCGGAUAUACAUUCAGUAGGCAUUACAGUUUUGUAAUUUGACAAGAUUCUCCUUGUAGGAACUGUCUUUAUUCAUUCUUUGAAGAACAGAUGUGAGGGGUAGGGGACAUGCAGUUUGUAUUUUGCCUUUUCCUCUCUCUUUGAGACAAACUGGUGGUCUCAAUCCUAAACAAGCUUUCCAAAUAAUUUUAUUUUAUUGUUCAUAUGUGUACAGCAAUCAUUUACUAAGCACUCAUCAUGCAAGCUUCUUUACAUUUACUCUUGAAUUGGUUGUUUUACUCAGCCUGUGCUGAUUUCAUUUAUGUGGAAGAAAUAAUAUGGCACUCCCUAUGGGAUAUAUUUGCUUUUUUUACUGUACUAAAUUUCAUUUACUUUUAAAUGAAUUCUGUAAAGUGCUUCAAACCUGUCAAGGCAAUAAACCUUUUACAUAUACAGUU